AAGGUACCAUUGUGUGUUUGUA
rnacentral:miRNA from 10 species